rnacentral:rRNA from 1 species
GAUGAACGCUGGCGGCGUGCUUAACACAUGCAAGUCGAACGGUGAAGCAGAGCUUGCUCUGUGGAUCAGUGGCGAACGGGUGAGUAACACGUGAGCAGCCUGCCCCUGACUCUGGGAUAAGCGCUGGAAACGGCGUCUAAUACUGGAUAUGAGCUGCGACCGCAUGGUCAGCAGUUGGAAAGAUUUUUCGGUCUGGGAUGGGCUCACGGCCUAUCAGCUUGUUGGUGAGGUAAUGGCUCACCAAGGCGCCGACGGGUAGCCGGCCUGAGAGGGUGACCGGCCACACUGGGACUGAGACACGGCCCAGACUCCUACGGGAGGCAGCAGUGGGGAAUAUUGCACAAUGGGCGAAAGCCUGAUGCAGCAACGCCGCGUGAGGGAUGACGGCCUUCGGGUUGUAAACCUCUUUUAGCAGGGAAGAAGCGAAAGCGACGGUACCUGCAGAAAAAGCGCCGGCUAACUACGUG